AGAGAGAGAGAGAGAGAGAGAGAGAGAGAUUGGAGAAAAAACUUUUCCGAACUUCGAAUUCCGCCUUCAGUUGCAGACUCGAGAGUCACCGUGAUCAGUACAGAAAGGACUUUGGAUUCGCUGUAACCGAAGUCACAGGCAGUUGUGAACUGUAUGUACUACAUGGGUACGAGGAUCCUCUAGAAGAGCUUCAGGUUCUCACUGUGUGGCUCUGCUUCAAAGAGGACUCCCACAAAGGGCCUGGAUGACGCAGCACAACAAUGACAGGACCAGUGAGACCCAGUAGGAGGGUUAUGCUACAAUAUCUAAAGGUUGGCUCUAGCUGGGAGUUACUUCUGAUUCCUGAAUUCACUCUGUCUCCCAAGGUAUGUAUGUCUUCAAAUAUUGAUUGGUAGCACCUAAAUCUGGGCUUGAAGCUCAGGAUGGGUGUGUCCCUGACUUAUCCGCUGGCCAAGUUGUCUCCUUGUAGUAUUUAUAAAUGCCUGGGUAAGUUGUUCAGUGACCACCAUAAAAAAAAUCUCUCACUUCAGAAAUGUCAAUUCAAGGUUUAUCCUGGGCUGUCUCCAAAAUGCUCUGGUGAUUUGAUUGAACACCUUCAAGCAGGAGGCAGUAUAUUAACCACAAACAUCAAAUAAUACCCUGCAUUGCAAUAGAAGCUAUUAUUAGACCCCUACUAAAUGUGGACAAAAUGGAGAAUAUUCCAGGGAAACCUAUUUAGUUGUCUCCCUUAUGUUUAGGAUUAACAUUAUUAGGUAAGAGAAAAACAAAACAAAACUAUGUUACAGUGGCCACGGCUGAGCAUAGAGAACAAAUGCCACAUCAAAUAUUUGCUUUCCAUGGGUGGUGUGAAGUUCUGUUAUCUCUGAACACACAGCCUUGAGCUGCUGAAGAUCUAAAUGGUGGUUCUCAACUUUUCCUAAUGCUGCGACCCUUUAAUACAGUUCCUCAUGCUGUGGGGACCCCCAACCAUAAAGUUACUUCAUUGAUACUUCAAAACUGCCAUUUUGCUACUGUUAUGAGUCAUAAUAUAAAUAUCUGGUAUGCAGGAUAUCUGAUGUUCAACCCCCAAAGGGGUCGUGACCCACCGGUUGAGAACUGAGCAUCUAAAAGGCGCUCUCUGCUCUUUGCCUUUGUUCCUUAUUCAUUGAUAUCAGUUUACCCCGUGAGGGUAUUUGUUCUGAUAUUUACUGAAAAACUUUCUCCCUGUCAGGUACAAACCUCACACUCUUGUUUUACACCAACUCAGAGAAGUAUUAUCCUUAUUUAUCAAAGUUGUUAUGUCUUCAGAUUGUAGCUCUAUUUUGAUAGUGGUGGUGACGUCAGCCAUGUUGUCAUUGGCAUGGAAUAAGACAUUUCUGACCCUCUAUUUCCUUAGGGUCUGUACACUAGUAUUCACCCACUUAAACAAAUGUAUUCAAUGUUUGUUUGUUUGUUUUUGUUUUUACAGACGGGGU